rnacentral:misc_RNA from 1 species
CAGCUGGUUGUGGAAAGUGUUUGCAAAUGGCUCUUAACACUCUACAAAGUUUUACCAAUCCAGUUUUCUGAGAUGUAACAUGCAUGGCCAAGUCAAAAGGAAGCAGAAAUUCACAUACAGACAGAUACACAAACAAACAAAGAGGGGCAGAGAGAUGGAGAGCACUCACAGAAGAAGCCUUUGCAUACAGCAGUAUAUAUUGAAAAACAUCAG